rnacentral:rRNA from 1 species
UGUGCCAGCAGCCGCGGUAAUACAGAGGGUGCGAGCGUUAAUCGGAUUUACUGGGCGUAAAGCGUGCGUAGGCGGCUUUUUAAGUCGGAUGUGAAAUCCCCGAGCUUAACUUGGGAAUUGCAUUCGAUACUGGGAAGCUAGAGUAUGGGAGAGGAUGGUAGAAUUCCAGGUGUAGCGGUGAAAUGCGUAGAGAUCUGGAGGAAUACCGAUGGCGAAGGCAGCCAUCUGGCCUAAUACUGACGCUGAGGUACGAAAGCAUGGGGAGCAAACAGGAUUAGAUACCCUGGUAGUCCAUGCCGUAAACGAUGUCUACUAGCCGUUGGGGCCUUUGAGGCUUUAGUGGCGCAGCUAACGCGAUAAGUAGACCGCCUGGGGAGUACGGUCGCAAGACUAAAACUCAAAUGAAUUGACGGGGGCCCGCACAAGCGGUGGAGCAUGUGGUUUAAUUCGAUGCAACGCGAAGAACCUUACCUGGCCUUGACAUACUAGAAACUUUCCAGAGAUGGAUUGGUGCCUUCGGGAAUCUAGAUACAGGUGCUGCAUGGCUGUCGUCAGCUCGUGUCGUGAGAUGUUGGGGUUAAGUCCCCGCAACGAGCGCAACCCUUCUCCUUACUUGCCAGCAUUUCGGAUGGGAACUUUAAGGAUACUGCCAGUGACAAACUGGAGGAAGGCGGGGACGACGUCAAGUCAUCAUGGCCCUUACGGCCAGGCUACACACGUGCUACAAUGGUCGGUACAAAGGUUGCUACACAGCGAUGUGAUGCUAUCUCAAAAGCCGAUCGUAGUCCGGAUUGGAGUCUGCACUCGACUCCAUGAAGUCGGAAUCCGCUAGUAAUCCGCGGAUCAUAAAUGCGCCGGUGGAUACG